rnacentral:ncRNA from 1 species
ACAAUUUGGUUCUGGUUGGUAAGGGGUUAGCGGUGGCUUUAAACAUACAUGUCAGACGUGCGAGUGGUGAGUAAUUAACUUACUUUCUUUUGAGUAUCUUAAAGGUAUUUAAAAGGGGUUAAGUUAGUGUUAAAUAGUGAUAAUAUUUAGGAAUUUGGACCCUCUUUUCAGUAGUAAGUUUUAUACAAUGAGUGAAAGUUUUAUAUAGUAUUGUCAAAAAAGACUGGUUAAUUACUGUGCCAGCAUCUGCGGUUAAACAGGGAGUCUGAGCUAAUCUUAGGCGGUAAAAGAGGGUUAGGUGUUAAGUUUUAAUGGGCAGGGGAUUACUUAAGGAGGGGUAAAAUCUGGAGUUAUGUAGGACUAAGGUAUGGCCCUAUUAACUGAAGCCUUGAUGGUUUUUGAGGAAACGGGGAUUAGAUACCCCCUUAUUAUUAAAGGUAAAAUGUUGAGACUACCUAGGCAUUACGAGCGUUAUGCUUAAAAUCUAAAGAACUUGGCGGUAUUUUAGGGCUUUUCAGGGGAGCCUGCCACAUAAUUGAUAGUCCUCGUGUAUAUUAACUUCUUUUUGUUUGACCAGCUCGUAUAUCGCCGUCGUAUUUGUUUUUUUUUAAGAAAGGUGAGAAGAACAGGAAAAUUCGUAAUUGUUACAUCAGGUCAAGAUGCGGCUUAUAUAGAAGGGUAGGUGGGCUACAAUUUUUAUUUUAGAAUUACGGAUAGGAGGUUGCAAUUUCUCUUUGAAGGAGGACUUGAUAGUAAUUUCAAACAGUAGUGUGGAUUGGUGAAUUGAGCACUAAGAUAUGCACAUAUCGCCCGUCGCUCUCGCUGGAGGAAAGUAGGUGAGAUAAGUCGUAACAUAGUAGAGGUAGGGGAACCUGCUUCUGGGAG